GACGAACGCUGGCGGCGUGCUUAACACAUGCAAGUCGAACGAGUGGCGAACGGGUGAGUAACACGUGGGUGACCUGCCCUGCACUUCGGGAUAAGCCUGGGAAACUGGGUCUAAUACCGGAUAGUGUGGGAUGGGCCCGCGGCCUAUCAGCUUGGUGGUGGGGUAAUGGCUACCAAGGCGCGACGGGUAGCCGGCCUGAGAGGGUGGACGGCCAGAUUGGGACUGAGCCACGGGCCAGACUCCUACGGGAGGCAGCAGUGGGGAAUAGUGCACAAUGGGCGGAAGCCUGAUGCAGCGACGCCGCGUGGGGGAUGACGGCCUUCGGGUUGUAAAGCUCUGUUGUUAAGGAAGCGGUACUUAACCAGAAAGGGACGGCUAACUACGUGCCAGCAGCCGCGGUAAUAC
rnacentral:rRNA from 1 species